GAUUGAUGGUUUUAAGAUAAAGUGAUGGUUUCAAUAGAGAAAUUGGUGGUUUUAAGAGAGAUUGGGGUGGUUUCAAGAGCAAUUGGUGGUUUUAAGAUAAAGUGAUGGUUUCAAGAGCAAUUGGUGGUUUUAAGAUAAAGUGAUGGUUUCAAUAGAGAAAUUGGUGGUUUCAAGAGAGAUUGAGAUGGUUUCAAGAGCAAUUGGUGGUUUUAAGAGAGAUUGAGAUGGUUUCAAGAGCAAUUGGUGGUUUUAAGAGAGAUUUAGAUGGUUUUAAUAGAGAUUUUGAUGGUUUUAAGAUAAAGUGAUGGUUUCAAUAGAGAAAUUGGUGGUUUUAAGAGAGAUUGAGAUGGUUUCAAGAGCAAUUGAUGGUUUUAAGAUAAAGUGAUGGUUUCAAUAGAGAAAUUGAUGGUUUUAAGACAAAGUGAUGGUUUCAAUAGAGCAAUUGAUGGUUUUAAGAGAGAUUGAGAUGAGAAAUUGAUGAGAGAUUUUGAUGGUUUU